GUCGCCUGGCAGGCCGCUGCAUGUCAGCAGCACGGAGCCAUUUGCAGAAGGACAGCGUCGGAGCUGUGUGCGCGCGUGUGCUGUACAGUGUAUAGACCGACCUCCUCUGUUUUUUCCCUUCGAAAAUUUGAAAAACUAUUAUUGUUUAAAUAUAUUAUACGCAGUUUCUUGAUUAAAAAAACGAGCCCGUUGUGUUGUGUGAACUAAAUUUGGCCAAACGAGUGUCCUUCAUGAAAGGAGCUACAAACUGCUAAGGUUGAGUAUCUGGAACAGUUGGCUGCCUGACUGCCCAAGCACCAUUGCUGCAAACUGUGGGACAAAUAAUAACUUUUUAAGGCAUGACAGGUUUCAGUUCGGACAGGAUAGAGGACUAUGCAGUUAAGACUGCUCCAUUGCGAGAAAUCAUGAAGCAGGAAGGACAAUAUAGCUUGAGCUCACCUUUGGCAUGUAACAGCCUUUGAGUCUAUAAAAAGGGAACUCCAGGUAGCAUUGACACUGGCUACUCUGGAUUACACUAAAUCAUUUCAGUUGUAUGUAGCCAGUAGAACAGAUGGCUGUGCAUCAGCAGUGCUAACGCAGGAAACAUGUAGCAGUAGGAAAAAAAACAGCCCAUCGCUUACUACAGCACUAAGCUAGACAAUGUAGCACAAGGCUACUCUCCAUGCUAUCAACAGGGACUUGCCACCCUGUACUAUGCAUAUGAAAAGGCCUCUACUCUGACUAUGGGCUAUCUAGUGGUCAUCUACUCACAUCACAAGGUUGUGGAGCUUCUAGAACAAGGACGAUUCAUCCUAACCCAGGCCUGAAGCUUAGCCUACGCAUCUCUCCUUACCUAUCCUGACAUUACAAUCAAACGUUGUACUACAGGUUUUAGAAAAAGUGAUGGGAUGCCCAUUCAACAUGCCAAACAAAUAGGUCAGUUAAUCUCUGCCAUGAUACAACCAAAACGUUCAGCAAUCAUCAAAUGCCAGGCACACAAAAAUGGUAAUGACAUUGUCAUUAAAGGUAAUAAUGCUGCAGACCUAGAAGCAGAAAAGGCCUCAGGGUACCAAAUAGCAGUGUUAGCACCAGUGAUUCUUAUAGAACUGCAACCUCAGCCGGAUGACAUUAUUCAAAUCUAGCAUCAGACGGGCCCAUAUGAACAGUUGAUGUGGCAACAAAGGGGAGCCACAAGAGAUGCACAUAAUUUGUGGCGUUUGCAUGAAGGGCAAAUUGUUGCACCCACUACGUUUUUCAAUAUUCUUAUUUCAGAAGCGCAUGGUUUUGACCAUUGCGCAAGGGGGAAGUAAUUAGAAAAAUAAAAUAACAAGGAUAUUGGUCUCUGUAUCUACAGGUAACGGUAGAUUAAUUUUUAUCCACAUGUGAUGUCUGUGCCCAAAACAAUGUUAGGAAAGGAACAACGACUCCAACAGGCCACAUACCAGUACCAGAAGGACCAUUCAAGCACCUAGUAAUAUACUAUGUGGACAUGAUAAAGUGAGUGCAAGGCAAAAAAGAAUAUUGAUUGUGGUAAUAGACAGAUUCAGUAGAUCAGUGGAAGCAAUACCGUCGGCAGACCAGGGAGCAGGAAUGGUAAUUAAGUUUUUGAUGAGAAGUAAUUCCUAGAUUUGGCAUACCAGAAGGAAAUUAGUUCAGAUAAUGGCUCAGUGUUUAUUCAUAGAAGAGUGAAAAGUGUAUUACAACAACUAAGAAUAAAAAGCAGCAGCAGUACUCUGUCCAGUGAUUCCCAGAGAUCAGGUAUACCUGAGGUUGUUCAGGAGGAAGUGGAAUGAGUCUAAAAGGGAAUGUCCGUGUAAAGUGGAAAGAGCCACCCCAACAGCAGUACAGGUGGAAUGUAGCACCAACUGAUAUCACGUGAACCAUUUCACCAGGGUCCCUAAAAUAAGAACCAGAGUGCAAGAAGAGGAAAGCCAGGCUGUUGGCAUUUCGGAAGGGAGCCAGGAAGAAACAGACACAGGCCCAAUGGAAGGUGAUGAAAGAGAAAACGAUGAACCAACACUCACUCCUGAGAAUCAGGAGAGUGGAAGGGAUGGGUCUGACAAUUUGCUCACUGCAGUAUACCUACUGCAGCUGGCCCCUCAAGUCCAGGCUGCAGCGUUCCCCAUGAGCCAGAGUUCCCCACAAUUGAUUUCUCAGUUCUGGACGAGGAAAUUAAUACCAGCUAGACAUAAGAGAUCGUUUAACAGUGAUACUGAGAAGGAAGUCAUGGGAUGGCUUAAAAAUACCUGGAGUUGAUUAGGAGAAAUGAAUAGUGACCUUAUCAGAAAACAAUAGCCCCAAUAUGAAGGGGAUAGUUCCUACUUCAACAAGCAUAAAGAAGGAGGUAAAGAAUAAGGACAUGCUGUGGAAAAAUGCCAAAGACAAUGGCUGCCUUACGAGGAACAAACAGUACGACAGCGGAUUUCUUUUGGGCCUGCGGAGGAAGAUGACUCGGAGCUACAUUACCAAAAGGUUAGAAAGGUGUAUGUACACAGUUAUGAAUAGUGCAGGCAGAGAUGCCCAUACCUGGGACUAUUUUGAAUUAAAGCUAAGGAAAUGGGGAGCUUGGGUAGCGAAAUUGGGAAUAAUGAUAGUAAUAGGAGCAGUUGUUUGAGGGUUGUUGUUUUGUUGUGUUUUGCCCAUACUUAGGUUAUUCUUGGUUCAGGCCACUGUCAAACAAAUGUCACUCACGUCCAGGACACCUGUAAUAAAUGGCCCGAUUAAGAACAGUGGAUUUGCAGGAGAUCCCUGUGCCCCUUGCCCAGACUGGCCCCCUAGGCCAGACUGGGCCCCUGGAACACCUCCAGAUGGCACAGACUCAGGUGCCUCAAGUGAGGACAAAGAAGUAGUGUAAGAUGAGCCAUGCCCUGGGUGUAAGUGCUAGCCUAACCUCUCCCCAAGGGUGACCCUCUACGAUGCGUAAAGCAUCUGGGUUGAAGAGGAACACUACUCGAAGUAAGUGAAAAGAGAAUAUAUCAAUAGACUGUAAGUAUGGAUGAAUGUGUAACUGAUAAACUGUUAUGGAUAAAACGUUGUACUCUGCAUAACCGCAAUACCUGUGGAUAAGACGGUACCCCUGUGCACGUAUGAUGGAGACACAGCAGAGGUGAAGGGAUUAGGGAGAGAGAAUCUUUUACUCCUUCCUAGUUAAAGUGAUGCUGCACAAGAGAGCUGUUUCAGAAUUCAGUCAUUGGUAAAAGGACUGACUGAUCUAAAAUUGGCCACUAGUUAGUAAUAAAUGAAGGGACUGGAUUGUGAGGCUGCUCUCUUGAUGUAGGUGGGAAGGGGGGAAUAUAUGGAGUAUUUUAAAUACUCAGACCAUAAUCUAAUCGUGUAUAAUCAAUGCAUAAGGCAUGAGAAAGUACCCGUAUAUGCUAAUCAAGGAAAUAAGUUAACCCACCAUUAUUUUGAGAUCUGUGGUUAAGAGUGUAACCGACUAUUAUGUAGACAAGAAUGUGCUAAUGUAAUCAACAUAUAGAAAUAUGUUUAGGACAGGUGUGCUACCAUUAAAAAGAUGCCUGAAAGGUUUCGAGGUAUGAGCAGAAAGCAAUGUGCCUAUAUUUAAAAAUCAGACUGGUUGCUCUCAUGCCACCAUUAGAAAAGAAUCAUGGGAAAUAGGAGGAGGGAAACCCAAGCAGGAAUAAGGAUCAGAAAUAAUAGUGGCGCAAGGCCAAAACGCUGGGGCUGGUUGUGGAAAUGGAAGCCCCGCCUAAAGAAAUAGUCACUGUGAAACUGUAUAAAAGAGUGUGCUGAGACUGAGUCUGGCAGUUGGUCCACGGACCAGCUUGACUUUGUUGCUUUGUAAUAAAGUCUAUUUUUUGGCACAAAAACCCUGAGAUUUUGAGUGUUUUCUUGCAGAAGAGAUUAUACUGCAAUACAUGUAUGCCUAGUUGUUAAUAAAACAUUUGAAACUAAAUGCGUAGUAUCUUUUUUUUUUUUUUUUUUUUAAUCUAUUAAAGGUAGUGCUUGAGUGUUACUCUUAUGAAAAGUCAUAAGCAGUUGCAGCAGUUUAAUUUAUAUGAAGUCAUAUAAGGUUAGUCAUUAAAGUCUUGCUUUGUUUUGCAUGUACACCUUAUCCACCUCAAUUAUCAGGUGUGCAGCUCUAAAAUCAUUUCUACAUGUGGUACAUAUUGCUGGAGAGGAAUUUGCAAGUCCGGCUAUGAAAAUGUGCUUUAUUCAUCAUUCUGGUGUAAAGGGCAUAUGAUGUUCCUGAAAGCAGGACUAAGCUUUACACAACCCAUUUCUACCAAUACCUAGUAGAGUUUUAAACUAGGAUAUGCUAAAACACAUACUGUAAUUACUAGCAAAAAAAAAAACAA